AUCCCAUGAUGAGGACACUUACGAAGCAAUUCCUUGAAUCUUUCCCACAUCCCGUAUAAGGACUCGUCUUCCAAUUAUUGGAAAGUAGUUAUCUCAUUACGCAAUUU
rfam:Gossypium raimondii Chr05_contig_437, whole genome shotgun sequence.